rnacentral:rRNA from 1 species
AUUGAACGCUGGCGGCAGGCCUAACACAUGCAAGUCGAGCGGAUGAAGGGAGCUUGCUCCUGGAUUCAGCGGCGGACGGGUGAGUAAUGCCUAGGAAUCUGCCUGGUAGUGGGGGAUAACGUCCGGAAACGGGCGCUAAUACCGCAUACGUCCUGAGGGUGAAAGUGGGGGUUCUUCGGACCUCACGCUAUCUGAUGAGCCUAGGUCGGAUUAGCUAGUUGGUGGGGUAAAGGCCUACCAAGGCGACGAUCCGUAACUGGUCUGAGAGGCUGAUCAGUCACACUGGAACUGAGACACGGUCCAGACUCCUACGGGAGGCAGCAGUGGGGAAUAUUGGACAAUGGGCGAAAGCCUGAUCCAGCCAUGCCGCGUGUGUGAAGAAGGUCUUCGGAUUGUAAAGCACUUUAAGUUGGGAGGAAGGGCAGUAAGUUAAUACCUUGCUGUUUUGACGUUACCAACAGAAUAAGCACCGGCUAACUUCGUG